rnacentral:rRNA from 1 species
CCAGACAGCCAGGAUGUUGGCUUAGAAGCAGCCAUCAUUUAAAGAAAGCGUAAUAGCUCACUGGUCGAGUCGGCCUGCGCGGAAGAUGUAACGGGGCUAAACCAUGCACCGAAGCUGCGGCAGCGACACUCAGGUGUUGUUGGGUAGGGGAGCGUUCUGUAAGCCUGUGAAGGUGUGUCGUGAGGCAUGCUGGAGGUAUCAGAAGUGCGAAUGCUGACAUAAGUAACGAUAAAGCGGGUGAAAAGCCCGCUCGCCGGAAGACCAA